CUUACAUUCAAACAGCGAAAGAUUCUUAGGGCCUUUGUUGCUUUAAUUUCAAAAGUAUGAACAAAGUUCUAUAACUCUUGAUUUCAUUUUGAUAAGAGUAUGCUACAUUUUAUGAAAGAAAUACAAGAAUCUAGAAUUUUUUUCAAAUUUGCUUCUGGAUGGUCAGUGGGUGUGAGAGGGGACAGACAGAUGGGCAGAAAUACAGAUGACUAUAAGAAAAGCAUUUCUAUAUUCUCUCUUUCGACUUCCCAGCAGGGAAUAAUAAGAUAUAUUCAAGAAAGACGAAAGAAACAGACUAAUUUAAUUUGUACUCAGUUACAUAAAGUUUGUCGAAAUAUAACCCUUGUUUGACGUAGAACCUGUAGAAAAGUCGAGCACGUUAUCUUACGGACAGUUUUUGUUUUGAUUAUUUUUUUGUAAAUAAGCUGCUAUCUCGGUAAUAACUAAUGAGAAUGGAUUGCAAUUUCACUUUUUCUUGUGUGUUGCUAAGUUUCAACUACUCAUUUUUGUGUUUUCGUAAGUUGAGCCCCUUUUUCUACUAUUUAAAGUUCCAUAAGACCACAUACAAAGCAGUUGCCCAUUUAGAUGAAAUGCAUAUUUACUGUUCACAUUUGAAACAGAGAUAUCAUGGGCCUUUAACUCUUUAGUGACAAGGCUUUUGAGUAGUAUACUGAACUGAAGCAUAACUGAUUCUUUACAGAAUUAUUCCCCUUUGUCACUUUGGUUUCACGUGGCUCUCGUUGAUAACGGAAAUUAUUUAUAUGAGCAAAAUUUUUACACCAUGUCUUCAGUUGCAAUUGGAUAUAAGACAGCAAUUACACAUUGAAUUAUUUUUAAAUAUGUGGGCCCCACUCGAGUAUUGAUGUUCUAGCUGGACAAUAGAUGUAGUCAUUACUUCCCAUUUUUUGUAUUCAGUUAUCAACAUGUUUGUUUUAUGAAAUGAUUGUUAUAUGCUUUAAAUGAAUUUUGGACUGAAAAUUAUGUUACAUAACUGGCAGACACUUUUACCAUUCAUUCCAGUUUUUCAAAAAAAAAAAUCCUAAAUGAGAAUUGAUACCUAACUUUUGUUUUUCGUCGACUUAAACAGUUUCAAUUCUUUUCAAAUCUAGGAUGUAUGUACAACAUGGAUUUCAAAAGAAAGGGAGGUCAUGUCAAAUCAUGACAAAUACCAUAGACUAAUUGUAUGCGCACUGAAAGCGCUACGGAAACUAUAAAAAGAACUCUUGAUAAUUUUCCAAAUUAAAACAAUUAACAAUGCUAUUUUCCCUAUUCCUCUAGCUUUGGCGGCAUUUCCAAACCAAUGUGAAUUUUCUAAUACUCAAAUCUUUUGCUCAGAUAUUGCUUGCUUGCAAUUAUGAAAUUAUCAUUGCCAGUGUUUCUUUGUCCAAACAUGUUGUGUCAAGUAUUAGGGCCCCUAUGAGCUAUGGUCAGCUUCCAUUAUAGACAGAUAUAUAGACAAGUUGGACAGUGUUUACACAGAAUUACGUAUCAAAUUAUUUUACAUCUUUGACAUAGAAUGCUAUGAUGGACAUUCACCUUUCAAAUUGAUGAACCUGUUAAAACUGAGGUUUUAAAGAGAGACAUAUAAUCCUGUGAAAUCAUUAGUAUUCGUGGGGACUAAUUUUCAAGAAUUUCGUGGUUAAGUUAAUCCACGAAAUUUAAUCCCAACGAACAAGUAAAAUUCUCAUUCUUUUUAUAUUCAAAAGUUGAUAUCCACGAAUUUAUAUCCCCAAGAAAUUGCCGUUUGGACCAAAGCCACGAAAUUUCAUGCCCACGACAUUUAAUGAUUUUACAAUAUUACAACUGAAUCAAAAUGACACAAUGUCAUAUUUGCAUUUUUCGCAGGUUCCAUUGUCAUUCUUUUCUCAUCCAGUCUUUUUUCGGCGUUUUAUUUGAUGGUCAAACUAUGCUUUUUUGGUUGGAUCAGCAGUUUAUCAUUUUCCAAGUAGUUCUAAUACAUGUGUAUGAAUUCUUGCGUUUAGUGAUGUUGAAAUCCAUCAAACUAAAACGUUGAUUAUGCAUUUUCAGUGGUGACCAUGAAAACGUUUUGAUGCUAACUACUCUUUGCCCAUUCUGCUACAUACGCGCUUUUCUCAAAAUUUUACUUUUGAUAAUCCUACAGUAGAAAUGUUCCUUUAUGAUUGAUAAAGCAAAGUUGCGUAGCUCACAUAAGAUGUGAGAGUUUCCAAAUGGAAAGCAUUUGGAUUUGUGGCGAGAUGAUGAGUCUGUGUGGUCCAGUACUGUAAAGCCGGUCUUGCUGAAGGGUUUGGCUAGGCUUUCGAUAUGGAGUUACUUAUACACGACCACUUACAUCGCUGUAUCUUUUUGUAGGUAUAGUGCGUGCUUGUGAAACUUACGUUAAAGCAUUGGUCGAGAGGGCUAAGACGCUUUCCUACGGGGCGAAGGUCCUAGAUUCGAAUCCUGGUCACUCCCAUUGUGGUGUCGGAACGACUCCACGACUGAUCGUCAGAAUAAUCGACCCAAUGCCUUUGGUAACAAAGAGUGUUACUGCAAAACUGAAACUCUGUGUCUACAUAUGAUCGAAUCCAUCCUACUGCAGGAACAACCACGCAAUAGUUAGACCUCCGGUUUUCUGGUUGCCAUGGUAAUAUAGAUGAAAGACAAUACAUACAGAACAUUGAUGGAGGUGUUUUUUUUUAAAUUUGGAGCAUGUAGGGCAUGUUGUGUCUCAGUCGCAACGAUUAAAACUGAACACGGCAACGAUCAAAACCGUACAAAGAUGCAUAUAGAUUGUUGAUGGACGUAUUUUCAGAUUUGGAGCAUGCCGGGUUGUGGUUUAGUGUUCAACGGCAAAGAUCACUGCCAUACAUCAUGGACGAUGGUGGACGAAGGUAUUGACAGGUCUGAACGAUAAAUGGGUUACCAUGGAAAUGUACAUCUACAUAGAAGCAAUGAAGCUGCAGUAGUGUAAUAGCCAACCUGUACAAAGUUAUAUAGCAGAUUUCAGACAGUAGGGGUUACCAUGGAAACUUGUAUCUACAUCCCCGCAAUGGUAUAAUGGAUGACGGACGUUCAGAUGUAAAAAGUUAUACAGCAAAUUUUGGAGCAUAUAGGUUGUGUAUGUUUACUUUUCAUUUCUUGUAGCGACACUUUGAUAUAUUUGUUUCUGUUUUUACACAUGCAUUUCUGUAUCUAUAUACACAACAGGGUUACCAUGGAAACUUAAUUUACAUCUAACCAUUGAUAUAAAUGGAUGACCGACGUCGACGUCUACAAUCAGCAGUGAGAGAAAUUCUGCAAACGAUCACGUGACAUACGCUUAGCUCCAAGACCUGUAAAUGAAUUCAGCACUGUUUGAUGGUCUCAAUGGAAUUCAAGGCUUGAUUGACAUGUUGUCUGUAUUUGGCCUGUCGUACUCAUGUUAGAGAGCUCUUCCACACCUCUUGCACAAAACGGAAAAUCCUUGAUGGCUGGACAGACGAAGACUUCAGUUGGGUUUAAGAAGGCAAGAAGAUAGUGUUUUACGUUGCUGAAAGAAAUAGAAAAGAAACGAUUGCAGAAAAAUAUCACCAUGCCGUCCUGUGUUUGUUAUUUGAUGGCAGCACAAUGCGUUCCAGAUUGGUUUCAAACACACAAGAGAGAAAUAUAUGCAGAAGGAAGAACGAAGUAUGAUGAAUGCAUGACAAACCUUGCACAAGAUAUAAGCAUAUCACCAUCACAGCCGCCCUGACACGAGAAUAUUUAAACAAAACAGAAAUAAGCUGACAUGUUUAUAAUCGUAUCCCCACGUACAAAGUAUAUGGGGUUAUAUUGGAGUCACGUAUGUCCAACAGUCCGUUCGUCCGUCCGUCCAUCGUGUCCGCUUUCAUAAAACUGACAUCAGUUAUUAAUCUCAUCAGGACGGUGUGCAGAGCUCACAACCCAUGUCACUAGGUCCAAAGUUAAGGUUACCUUUUGAAGUCUAAAGUCGAGUAGUUUAAGUUCAUGUCCGCUCUAUAUUGUCUAAAUGGCUUGGAAGGUACUUAGCUCGACUAUUCGAAGAUUAAAGAGAAUUAUUUUACUUGACUUUGCGUCGUCGUCACUGCCUCCGAUGUAUUCAUGUUAAAAUGUUAUGGCAAGCUUGUGUCACUAUAUAUUCUUUACUAUUUCCCCUUUUAACUUCAAACUUCACAUAAGUGUUAGUCUUGGUAAGGGACAGACAUCUGGUAUUUUAGAGUCUGGCUUCUUAAACGUCAAGGUCACUGGGUCAAACAUUAUAACAGUGCUGGUUAAAGUUUUAUGACAAACUUCUCUAUUGUACUGUAUCCUAACCACUACCCUAUAAUCAUCAAAUCUUACAUAAGGAUUGGUUUUAGGAAGGGGCAAAAGUCUUUAGGUUUAAGAUUAGGUAAGUCAGAGGUCAAGGGCACUGGGUCAGGUUUUGUAAUAAUGUUCGUUAAAGUUUUAUGCACGCUUCACAAUUGGACUUAUAACUCAUACUGUUCCUUUGCACUGGUAUGUCACAGGCUUUUGAGCCCUACCCAUACUUUCUAUACCCAAUCCCGACACCUACCAAAAGAUACAUUCCUCACACAAACAUAUUUCAUAUUCCCCUCAUCUCCGCUACCCACCUGUCUCCACCUACUCCCACCAACCCCAUUGCACCACCUCUUGCCCAGAACAAAGAUUUAUUUUACAUUUUCUUUACAAUAAAUUAGAUUGUAAAUUGAUGUAUAUCUUGUAUAUCAUAUGUUUAUAUGAUGUUUAAGUAUCCCUUAUUCCCACACUUCUACUCCCAACCCCACUCGACUCUAUUUUUUUUCUUAUUAGCUCAUCUGAUUUUUUGAAAAAAAAUGAUGAGUUAUUGUCAUCACUUGAGCG
rnacentral:lncRNA from 1 species